rnacentral:rRNA from 1 species
UAGGGAAUCUUCGGCAAUGGACGAAAGUCUGACCGAGCAACGCCGCGUGAGUGAAGAAGGUUUUCGGAUCGUAAAACUCUGUUGUUAGAGAAGAACAAGGACGUUAGUAACUGAACGUCCCCUGACGGUAUCUAACCAGAAAGCCACGGCUAACUACGUGCCAGCAGCCGCGGUAAUACGUAGGUGGCAAGCGUUGUCCGGAUUUAUUGGGCGUAAAGCGAGCGCAGGCGGUUUCUUAAGUCUGAUGUGAAAGCCCCCGGCUCAACCGGGGAGGGUCAUUGGAAACUGGGAGACUUGAGUGCAGAAGAGGAGAGUGGAAUUCCAUGUGUGGCGGUGAAAUGCGUAGUUAUAUGGAGGAACACCAGUGGCGAAGGCGGCUCUCUGGUCUGUAACUGACGCUGAGGCUCGAAAGCGUGGGGAGCAAACAGG